rnacentral:tRNA from 1 species
GCUCUGGUGGCUCAAUCGGAUAGAGCGUUGGACUUCUAAUCCGAAGGUUGCGGGUUCAAAUCCCGCCCAGAGUA